AUUGAACGCUGGCGGCAGGCCUAACACAUGCAAGUCGAGCGAGCGGCGGACGGGCGAGUAAUGUAUGGGGACUGCCCGAUCGAGGGGGCUAACUACUGGAAACGGUGGCUAAUACCGCAUACUAUCGGAUAACCCAUAUGGGAUUAGCUAGUGGGUGGGGUAAAGGCUCACCUAGGCGACGAUCUCUAGCUGGUCUGAGAGGAUGAUCAGCCACACUGGGACUGAGACACGGCCCAGACUCCUACGGAGGCAGCAGUAGGGAAUAUUGCACAAUGGACGCAAGCCUGAUGCAGCCAUGCCGCGUGUAUGAAGAAGGCCUUAGGGUUGUAAAGUACUUUCAGCAGAGAAGCGUUACCCAAAGAAGAAGCACCGGCUAACUCCGUGCCAGCCGCCGCGGUAAUUC
rnacentral:rRNA from 1 species